rnacentral:lncRNA from 1 species
GGCUGUGGACUUCCCCCAGGAGGAGUGGGAAUGCCUGGACUCUGCUCAGAGGGCUCUGUACAUUGAUGUGAUGUUGGAUAAUUACAGCAACCUGGUCUCUGUUGGACUGUACAUGGGAUACUGUCCCUCAACAUGUGAACACCGAAAAGGAGUCUUGUCAGUGUAGUGAGCUUGGUGAAAUGCUUCAUGAACCCCCAAACUGUGUACUUUAUAAAAGAAGUGACACUACAGAAACCUCCAAUAACUACAGAUGCUGUAGUGACAAGGAAGCCUCUGUUGACUCAUCAAACCCACAUAGACAUAAAAGCAGGCACACUGGAGAAGAACCUUCUGAAUCUAAAGACUGUGAGAAAUCCUUAACUUUGUCUUCCAACAUUCCUCAAGAUCAGAGAUGCUACCCUGAAGAGAAAGAGCACAGGUAAAGAGAGUGUGAUGGUGACUUCAUCUCUACAUACAGUCUCAUGCAACAAACAAUCUUCAUUGGAGAGACACCACAUCAGAGUGGAAAAUGCAGGAAAUGCUUCAGUAACCCCUCAAGCCUCGCUGUCCAUCAGAGAAUUCAUACUGGACAGAAAACCUUCAAGUGCAAUGUUUGUGACAAAUCCUCGAUUUCUCUGCUGAGUCAGGGUAGCACCAGAGUUAGCCAUGUGAAGAAAGACCAGGUGUUUGUUUUGGGGGAACCUCUGAUACAGAGGCUACCACCCACAAACACACUUUUGGUUUGAUCCCAGACUAUCAAUUGGGAAGGCAAUUCUAGAGUGUUGGGAUCUCUGGCAAACGCUGGGAAGAUGGGUGCCAUGGAAUCUAAAACAAAAAUUUGUUCAAAUUUGUCUGAACUCCCUGUGUUCUCCCAGGGAGAGCUGGGUUCCCUACUCUCCCUUCACUGCACUGACCAUAGGGCUCCACGUGCCUCCCUAUCCUUACCCUCCCUCCCCCUUCACCUCCCUCCUGUUGCAGCAGCAAUGGUGGUUACCAUAGUGAUGGUGAAGGAUCAGGCUGCUCAUUUUAAAUUACCCCCUUAAACCAGCAGGAGUAAAGUUUGCAUGCUGGGUAAGAAGCACUUGACUUUGGGACAGAUAAUAAGGGUCGAAUUAUGGCUUCACCACCAUCUUUCUUAAGAACAACAACACAGGACUUGAGUAGACCAGGAAAGUCUCCAAAAGAUACUUUUCAUUUGAGGUAAUGUUUUUGUUUCUAGUGAAAGGCCAAACCUACUCUAUCUUGGGACCGGCCUCCAACAUAAAGAUAAAAAAGCCUGAGAACUUGACCUGCAGCAGAACCCAAGCUGCAUCCAAGUACCAGGAAGGACCCCAUGGUUUGUCCUUGGCCAGAGUUACUUUCUAGCAACAGUUAAUCAAAGAUUAGUCUGAUUUUUUCAGACGUACUUUCAGACCCUUUGGGAUUGUUCAUGAUCUUGCUUCAGAGCACCCACCUGUCAGCUUACAAUAGACAUUCAGUUAGAUAUUUGUUAGGCUGGACGCCCCCUCACUUACUCCCAUUCCUUAUAAAACCUUGUCCUGCUGAGGGUUUGAGUCUGCUCUGGCCGGGUGUGGUGGCGCACGCUGCUCUGCCUUCCUUUCUGGUCCUGCUUUGUCAGGGUUGGGUUGGAGGAGAGCCCAAAUCCAAACUUGAAAUAAAGAGACCCAACAGAAACAGCUCCUUGGUGGCCAUUUGGGGUUCAUGAACUCUUCCUGGCACAACAUUUUGGUGCAUUGGCCUGGAACUCCAAGGCCACCAGGACCCAACCCUGGAGAAUCUCGGCACUGGUUAUCUCUGAGUCUGUGAGUCUAUCCAUGUGUGCUUGUGUGAUACUGUAAUAAUCCUGUUCUGAAUAAUUCUGUAAUUCUGUUCUGAAGAGGCCUAAAAAGCUGUAUUACCUGGCAAGAAACAGCAAAAGAGGAUGUAGAAUCCGGCUGCGGUGGUCACCCUGGUACAUCCUAGCCAAGGGGGCUUAGGCGUCGUUCCAAAGAUUCUGGGGUACAGAGUGCCCCUGGUGUUAAUGUCAGUGAAGGACAGAGCGGAAGUGUCCUGUUUGUUUUAGCUGCUGUAUAGUUGUCUGUUCUGUGUGUGUCACUUUAAGGAAUGUUGAGGGACUGACGCUGUAGCGAUUUGAAGACCCACCCAGCCUCUCGGCUUAACUCUUUCUUUUCCAGACCGAUUCGCUACUUUAGGGAGCCUGAGAGUCCCGGGCCUAGGUGCUGGUGUCCCGCAGCUGCGGCGGGAAGUCGCGCGGGGCUGAGCCCACCUCGGGC